GACAACUCCCUCCAUCACUUACAUACUAUACCCCAGGAAGGCAGGGCAUGUAUGUUUUGAAAGAGUUCCCAGUUGGUUACAUACUUGGACUUGGUGAUAGACAUGUACAGAAUAUCUUGAUAAAUGAGCAGUCAGCAGAACUUGUACAUAUAGAUCUAGGUGUUGCUUUUGAACAGGGCAAAAUCCUUCCUACUCCUGAGACAGUUCCUUUUAGACUCACCAGAGAUAUUGUGGAUGGCAUGGGCAUUACGGGUGUUGAAGGUGUCUUCAGAAGAUGCUGUGAGAAAACCAUGGAAGUGAUGAGAAACUCUCAGGAAACUCUGUUAACCAUUGUAGAGGUCCUUCUAUAUGAUCCACUCUUUGACUGGACCAUGAAUCCUUUGAAAGCUUUGUAUUUACAGCAGAGGCCAGAAGAUGAAACUGAGCUUCACCCUACUCUGAAUGCAGAUGACCAAGAAUGCAAACGAAAUCUCAGUGAUAUUGACCAGAGUUUCAACAAAGUAGCUGAACGCGUCUUAAUGAGACUACAAGAGAAACUGAAAGGAGUGGAAGAAGGCACUGUGCUCAGUGUUGGUGGACAAGUGAAUUUGCUCAUACAGCAGGCCAUAGACCCCAAAAAUCUCAGCCGACUUUUCCCAGGAUGGAAAGCUUGGGUGUGAUCUUCAGUAUAUGAAUUACCCUUGCAUUCAGCCUUUAGAAAUUAUAUUUUAGCCUUUAGUUUUAACCUGCCAACAUACUUUAAGUAGGGAUUAAUAUUUAAGUGAACUAUUGUGGGUUUUUUUGAAUGUUGGUUUUAAUACUUGAUUUAAUCACCACUCAAAAAUGUUUUGAUGGUCUUAAGGAACAUCUCUGCUCUCACUCUUUAUAAAUAAUGGUCAUU
rnacentral:sRNA from 1 species